ACAUCAUUCUCCUUAUCAACAAAGCAAAAAGAAAUUGCAUAUGUAUGGUUCUCUGUAUCCCAUGCAAACGCUCUUUCCAUCACGCCCUCAUACUUAUUGCGUAAAUGAGUGUUUAGACCACAAUAACCUUUCUCAUGUGGGUGAAUCCCCUAAUGCAAGCACCGAAGGCUAAAAAAUAGUAAAUGAAUCUACAACUAUCGUGUUCACCAUGACGGAAAAAGUAAAACCAACCUUAAGAAUGUGUCUAUCCACUACAUUUUUUUAAAGUUUGACAUUAAAUAUUACAUUUAGUUUUUCAAAGUGUCUAUUUUACCAAAACUUCCUUAUUACCAGCUUGAUGUUAAAGCUUUUGAUAAGCUUUCUGAUGAUGGUGAAAUUUACAACGAUUCUGAAUAGCAAUUAAGAGCCUAUUCGGAUUGGCUUAUUUUAAGUGCACGAGGGGAGCAGGAAACCUGCACAGGCGCCCGAGGAAUCUUGCCUGACUUGGCUGCUCGCUAAUGUGCUCGAUGAAAAGUUUCUUUGAAGCUCUUCAGCAUAAAGAAACAGAGUUGCAAGUAAAUUCUCCUCAUAUUUGUCUAAGCAAUAUGAAGGUUGUUUUCAUCUCACAAGUGUCGGUGCAGAACUGGAGCAGGGAUCCGACACUGUUGUGUGUUGCUUGCGCCUGUUCAACCACUCAUGUGCUUUAAUUUGCUCUGUGACAAAUUACUAGGAUCUCUUCAGGUCAUUUAUGGAUCAGACUAUCCCUUUUGAAAAUUUUGGUAUUCUCGGGGAAAAAAGUUAUGGAUUGCGCCUAGCUAGCAUCUGAAGAGGCACAUAGAACUAGCAGCUGCAUUUUGAAAUUCGGAUAGUGUGAGGAAUUAAAAUUUCAACAUUUGUUUUGUGGCAAAAUGCUGGGUGUUCGUAUGUUUACAGUGAAAACUCUUCAAGGUGAGAAUAGUACGGUGUUCAGAACCUCAUUUAUUGUGCAAAAUAUAGACGGAUGUGUCCACAAAUGCAAGAACACCACUAGCAUUAUUUGUGAUUAGGUUCAAGUCUUAGACUGUUAUUGUUGCUUUCUAUCAUUCUUUUAUUAAAGAAAUUGAUUUCUUUUUCUCUUGACAAUUGAUUGAAACUUACAUGUUUUAACCUAAAGAUGUGAUGGCAGGAAUUGUUUCAGAGAAAGAAAUACAGGCAAAUUGAUUGCAAAUCCAUAGGCAUCUAUCAUACUCUAUUGUUGUCUUCUCAUGAACUUGUGUUAAUAAGGUCCUUGUGUUUGUGUACGACAUCAGUUUUCCACUGUCAAAUGGGAUCUCAAACAUUUUGACACUACAAACAUAUUCCUUUACAGUGAUCUGGAGGAGACUCUUCUCAUGGGGCAAUCACCGGCUUCAAGGGUCCAACCUUUUUGUACUACCGUCUUCCUAUGUAAGGCUACUUCUGAUUGA